CUUAAGCAUAUCACUAAGCGGAGGAAAAGAAACUAACUAGGAUUCCCCCAGUAACUGCGAGUGAAGAGGGAAGAGCUCAUCAUUGGAAUCUGGCAGUGUUUCACUGUCCGAGUUGUAGAUGAGGAGUAGUCCGUCUGGACUGCAUGGCGUCCAAGUACAAUAGGCCGUCAGUGGGACAUCAUAGAGGGUGACAAUCCCGUCCUUGACGCCAAUGUGCAAGUCUAUUACGAUGGCUAUCUCAGAGAGUCGAGCAGUUUGGGAUUUGCUGCUUAAACAUGGGAGGUAGAUUCCUUCUAAAGCUAAAUACAGGCGAGAGACCGAUAGAGAACAAGUACCGCAAGGGAAAGAUGAAAUAGCACUCUGUGAAGGGAGUCAAAAGGCGUGAAAUUGUUGCGAGAGAAGCGAUUCAAGUCAGCGUAGCUAGGCCCAUCAAGCGUCUUCGCUUUGGACUAGCUUUGCCAGCGGUCUUGUCCCUUAAAGAGACUUGACUUGUAAUAUGUCCAGCCUGGCGUGCACAGGCAGCCCCUUCUGGGGGCCAGUGACAUGGCUGGUGGAAUGGCUUGCAAUCGACCCGUCUUGAAACACGGACCAAGGAGUCUAACAUGUAUGCGAGUAUAAGGGUGGCAAACCCGUAUGCGCAAUGAAAGUGAUUUUCGGUGAUUGAGAAUGGCCUGAUGACCAGACAAGCAAUAUAUGUCCCUCGUACGGCCAUUGCCCAAGUUCCGUGGUAGAUCCCACGAACAUGGAGUUGGAGCAUACAUGCUAGGACCCGAAAGAUGGUGAACUAUGCCUGGACAAAGCGAAGCCAAAGGAAACUCUGGUGGAGGCUUGUAGCGAUUCUGACGUGCAAAUCGAUCGUCUGAUCUGGGUAUAGGGGCGAAAGACUAAUCGAACC
rnacentral:rRNA from 1 species